rnacentral:rRNA from 1 species
AGAGUUUGAUCAUGGCUCAGGAUGAACGCUAGCGGCAGGCUUAACACAUGCAAGUCGAGGGGUAUAGUAGCAAUACUAGAGACCGGCGCACGGGUGCGUAACGCGUAUGCAAUCUACCUUUUGCAGAGGGAUAGCCCAGAGAAAUUUGGAUUAAUACCUCAUAGUAUGUUUGAAUGGCAUCAUUUAAACAUUAAAGUCACAACGGCAAAAGAUGAGCAUGCGUCCCAUUAGCUAGUUGGUAAGGUAACGGCUUACCAAGGCAACGAUGGGUAGGGGUCCUGAGAGGGAGAUCCCCCACACUGGUACUGAGACACGGACCAGACUCCUACGGGAGGCAGCAGUGAGGAAUAUUGGACAAUGGGCGCAAGCCUGAUCCAGCCAUGCCGCGUGCAGGAUGACGGUCCUAUGGAUUGUAAACUGCUUUUGUACAGGAAGAAACACCCCGACGUGUCGGGGCUUGACGGUACUGUAAGAAUAAGGAUCGGCUAACUCCGUGCCAGCAGCCGCGGUAAUACGGAGGAUCCAAGCGUUAUCCGGAAUCAUUGGGUUUAAAGGGUCCGUAGGCGGCUUUAUAAGUCAGUGGUGAAAUCUCCCCGCUCAACGGGGAAACGGCCACUGAUACUGUAAGACUUGAAUUAUUAGGAAGUAACUAGAAUAUGUAGUGUAGCGGUGAAAUGCUUAGAGAUUACAUGGAAUACCAAUUGCGAAGGCAGGUUACUACUAAUGGAUUGACGCUGAUGGACGAAAGCGUGGGUAGCGAACAGGAUUAGAUACCCUGGUAGUCCACGCCGUAAACGAUGGAUACUAGCUGUUGGGAGCAAUCUCAGUGGCUAAGCGAAAGUGAUAAGUAUCCCACCUGGGGAGUACGUUCGCAAGAAUGAAACUCAAAGGAAUUGACGGGGGCCCGCACAAGCGGUGGAGCAU